rnacentral:rRNA from 1 species
UACGGAGGGUGCAAGCGUUAUCCGGAUUCACUGGGUUUAAAGGGUGCGUAGGUGGGCAGGUAAGUCAGUGGUGAAAUCUCCGGGCUUAACCCGGAAACUGCCGUUGAUACUAUUUGUCUUGAAUAUAGUGGAGGUGAGCGGAAUAUGUCAUGUAGCGGUGAAAUGCUUAGAUAUGACAUAGAACAUCGAUUGCGAAGGCAGCUCGCUACACAGUAAUUGACACUGAGGCACGAAAGCGUGGGGAUCAAACAGG